UGCGGCUGGAUCCCCUCCUUUCUAGAGCAAGCCUGCGGGGCAGGCGUCCACUUCUAUCGGCUGUUGUGAAGCAGGCCUACGAGACGGCGGUGACGACGGUUUGUCGCGGUCGUCAAGCGCUGAUAAGAAGCAAGGGUCUGUAGCUCAGCUGGUUAGAGCACACGCUUGAUAAGCGUGGGGUCGUUGGUUCAAGUCCAACCAGACCCACCAACAGCAUCUACAGUCUCGGACCUUAGGGGGUGUAGCUCAGUUGGGAGAGCGCCUGCUUUGCAAGCAGGAGGUCAUCGGUUCGAUCCCGUUCACCUCCACCAAAAGAGUCGCAUAGGCAAGCCCACGGCUUGUUUAUGCGUUUUUGCCGCGGGUCGAUUGGCUGUUCUUUAACAAUUUGGAAGAUACAUGUUUGCUUGGGCGUGAGCCUGGGCAAACACUGGGUUUGAGAUUGCACCGAGGUGCGGGCGAUGUCUCGCUCGAAGCCUCGGUCACCUAUGGCCAAUGGUUUCGAAUCGAGCGAUCGAGGACGAGCCGUCAAGGCUAUAGGGUCAAGCGAACAAGUGCAUGUGGUGGAUGCCUUGGCGAUUACAGGCGAUGAAGGACGUGGCAGCCUGCGAAAAGCCUCGGGGAGCUGGCAAACGAGCUUUGACCCGAGGAUGUCCGAAUGGGGAAACCC
rnacentral:misc_RNA from 1 species